CCUGCUGAAUGUGUCACCUGCGUCCUGCUGAUGCAUAUGCUCACCUCUGGAGCACAGGUGAGGUCUUAAGUGACCACAAAAGAAGGACCAGACAGAGUAACAAAGAGGAUUGUUGAGACAGGACGCUCUGUGGGCUCCAGCCCCAACGGCAGCUCACGUGGAAGAAGAGGAGAGAUCCAUCUCCACCCCUCCUGAAAACCCUGAAAGAUACUCCAUUGUCUGGAAGGACCACCGUUUACCCACCCGCCUACUGAAGGAUGCCUUGGUUGCUCCCAAGCUUUGUCAAUUAUGAAAAAAGCUGCUAUAAAUAUCCAUGUACAGUUUUGGGUGUGGAUAUAAACUUUCAGCUCCCUUGGGUAAA